rnacentral:rRNA from 1 species
AACGAACGCUGGCGGCAUGCCUAACACAUGCAAGUCGAACGAGACCUUCGGGUCUAGUGGCGCACGGGUGCGUAACGCGUGGGAACCUGCCCUUAGGUUCGGAAUAACUCCCCGAAAGGGGUGCUAAUACCGGAUAAUGUCUUCGGACCAAAGAUUUUUCGCCUUUGGAUGGGCCCGCGUUGGUUUAGCUAGUUGGUAGGGUAAAAGCCUACCAAGGCGAUGAUCCAUAGCUGGUGUGAGAGGAUGAUCAGCCACACUGGGAAUGAGACACGGACCAGACUCCUACGGAAGGCAGCAGUGGAGAAUAUUGGACAAUGGGCGAAAGCCUGAUCCAGCAAUGCCGCGUGAGUGAUGAAGGCCUUAGGGUUGUAAAGCUCUUUUACCCGGGAUGAUAAUGACAGUACCGGGAGAAUAAGCUCCGGCUAACUCCGUG